rnacentral:rRNA from 1 species
UGUCGUGUUAUCGACAAGUGAAUUCAUAGCUUGUCAGAAGGCAGACCCGGAGAACUGAAACAUCUUAGUACCCGGAGGAAGAGAAAGAAAAAUCGAUUCCCUGAGUAGCGGCGAGCGAAACGGGAAAAGCCCAAACCAAUAAGCUUGCUUAUUGGGGUUGUAGGACACUCUAUACGGAGUUACAAAGGAAUAUAUUAAACGAAUCAUCUGGAAAGUUGAAUCAAAGAAGGUAAUAAUCCUGUAGUUGAAAAUAU